rnacentral:rRNA from 1 species
UACAGAGGGUGCGAGCGUUAAUCGGAAUUACUGGGCGUAAAGCGCACGUAGUCGGCUUUGCAAGUCGGGUGUGAAAUCCCCGGGCUCAACCUGGGAACUGCAUCCGAGACUGCAUUGCUAGAGUAUGGGAGAGGGAAGCGGAAUUUCUGGUGUAGCAGUGAAAUGCGUAGAUAUCUGGAGGAAUACCGGUGGCGAAGGCGGCAUCCUGGACCGGCAUUGACGCUGAUGAGCGAAAGCUAGGGGAGCAAACGGG